UUAUACACAUUAUGUACAAAAUUUGAAUGACGCGCGUGCGCCGUAAAAGUUCUUAUGUUGGCAAAUAGAGUGCGCGCAUGCGCUGAAGCGUCUGUGUGACUCCGGCAUUGCCGUUAUAUCGUACAGUUAGAUCACGCGGCACAGUAUUGCAGUCCAUAUUGUUCGUGUGUGCGCGUAUCUUAGUCGUUGCACAAGGAAAAUAUUCAACCAAGAUUACAUAUGAAGACUACAUUCUAUGACAGGUGCGUUGACCUAUACACAUCGUGUCGUUAUUUCAGUUCACAGUCAUCAGCUGCACAAUCAUUUUUUACAGAUCUGACGUGACCCGUCGAGUAAUUGGUCCCCAUGCAGUUCGUUUUUUUUUUACAUUCCGUGGAAGCUUGGUUGCAGAACCUCAGACGGCACGUAG